UACGUAGGGUGCGAGCGUUGUCCGGAAUUACUGGGCGUAAAGAGCUCGUAGGUGGUUUGUCGCGUUGUUCGUGAAAACUCACAGCUUAACUGUGGGCGUGCGGGCGAUACGGGCAGACGUGGAGUACUGCAGGGGAGACUGGAAGUUCCUGGUGGUAGCGGUGGAAUGCGCAGAUAUCAGGAGGAACACCGGUGGCGAAGGCGGUUCUCGUG
rnacentral:rRNA from 1 species